AUUGAACGCUGGCGGCAGGCUUAACACAUGCAAGUCGAGCGGGGGAGGUUGCUUCGGUAACUGACCUAGCGGCGGACGGGUGAGUAAUGCUUAGGAAUCUGCCUAUUAGUGGGGGACAACAUUCCGAAAGGGAUGCUAAUACCGCAUACGCCCUACGGGGGAAAGCAGGGGAUCUUCGGACCUUGCGCUAAUAGAUGGGCCUAAGUCGGAUUAGCUAGUUGGUGGGGUAAAGGCCUACCAAGGCGACGAUCUGUAGCGGGUCUGAGAGGAUGAGCCGCCACACUGGGACUGAGACACGGCCCAGACUCCUACGGGAGGCAGCAGUGGGGAAUAUUGGACAAUGGGCGGAAGCCUGAUCUAGCCAUGCCGCGUGUGUGAAGAAGGCCUUUUGGUUGUAAAGCACUUUAAGCGAGGAGGAGGCUACUAGUACUAAUACUACUGGAUAGUGGACGUUACUCGCAGAAUAAGCACCGGCUAACUCUGUGCCAGCCGCCGCCGUAACAC
rnacentral:rRNA from 1 species